rnacentral:tRNA from 1 species
GACCGGAUACUCGAGUGGUUCAGAGAACUGUCUGCAAAACAGUUUACGCGGGUUCGAAUCCCGCUCCGGUCUCAA